CCUACGGGUGGCAGCAGUGGGGAAUAUUGGACAAUGGGGGCAACCCUGAUCCAGCCAUGCCGCGUGUGUGAAGAAGGCCCUCGGGUUGUAAAGCACUUUCAGUGAGGAAGAACGCCUGGUGGUUAAUACCCAUCAGGAAAGACAUCACUCACAGAAGAAGCACCGGCUAACUCCGUGCCAGCAGCCGCGGUAAUACGGAGGGUGCGAGCGUUAAUCGGAAUUACUGGGCGUAAAGCGCGCGUAGGUGGCUUGAUAAGCCGGUUGUGAAAGCCCCGGGCUCAACCUGGGAACGGCAUCCGGAACUGUCAAGCUAGAGUGCAGGAGAGGAAGGUAGAAUUCCGGGUGUAGCGGUGAAAUGCGUAGAGAUCGGGAGGAAUACCAGUGGCGAAGGCGGCCUUCUGGACUGACACUGACACUGAGGUGCGAAAGCGUGGGUAGCAAACAGGAUUAGAUACCCGGGUAGUC
rnacentral:rRNA from 1 species